AACGAACGCUGGCGGCGUGCCUAACACAUGCAAGUCGAACGGGAAAACCCGCAAGGGUGAGUACAGUGGCGCACGGGUGCGUAACACGUGGGUAAUCUGCCCAGAAGCCCGGAAUAACUCCCCGAAAGGGGUGCUAAUGCCGGAUGAGACCACGGGGACUUCGGUUCCUGGGGGAAAAGGUGGCCUCUGUAUACAAGCUAUCACUUCUGGAUGAGCCCGCGGCCCAUCAGCUAGUUGGCGGGGUAAUGGCCCACCAAGGCUACGACGGGUAGCGGGUGUGAGAGGAAGAUCAGACACACGGGAACUGAGACACGGUCCAGACUCCUACGGGAGGCAGCAGUGGGGAAUCUUGCGCAAUGGGCGAAAGCCUGACGCAGCAACGCCGCGUGUGUGAUGAAGGUCUUCGGAUCGUAAAGCACUGUCGGGAGGGACGAAUAAGGGCCGGGUGAACAAUCCGGUUCGACGACGGUACCUCCAGAGGAAGCACCGGCUAACUCUGUGCCAGCCGCCGCCGUAAUAC
rnacentral:rRNA from 1 species